CUUGACCGAGCCGAGCCAGAGCGGCUGCGUGCCGUCGCGGUCCUGCCCGUACGUCGCCAGCAGCGCCUGUGCCUC
rfam:Micromonospora coxensis strain DSM 45161 genome assembly, chromosome: I